GAACCGUGGUGAUUGAUGAGCAGAUGUAGGAGGUGGAGCAGAACCGUGGUGAUGAGCAGAUGUAGGAGGUGGGGCAGAACCGUGGUGAUGAGCUGAUGUAGGAGGUGGAGCAGAACCGUGGUGAUUCAUAAGCAGAUGUAUUAGGUGUUGCUGUUGCUGGGGCUGUGGCAGGAAGUGGUUGAUCACAUUCCUAUUCUCCAGUUGGGUAAUGAGCUCAUGGUUGAAUCGUGAAUGGGUAAAUGAAUGGGUGGAUGGAAAUAAUUAUGGUUCACCUAAUUUUAUGCCCCUAAGGUCCUUGCAAAAGAAAACGGAGGGAGGAGAGAGAGGAGAAAGGGGAAGAAGUCGCAUUCAAAUUCACUCUCGCCAGUCUCUAAAAUGGCAGAUUCGUUUUGAAACAACUCCAGAUUAAGCCUACAGAGGGAAGGCAUGGCUGAUUCUGCUGAGCACCUAUUACAGCUUCAGCAGCAUACCUCGUUUCGGUCCACAACAGCUGUGUAAGAUUGUGACGGAGCUGGAAAGUUCCUGUUGCCUAGUGAGGUCAUGUCCUAGCGCAGAACGCAGAAUCACGAAGAGUGACGAAUGCCCGCCGUCAACUGCUGGCCGGGCUGCGUGUCAUGCAGCAACGCACAACGGAAGCACACCCUUCUCCUGUUCCCAGUGGUCAGAGCCACCCAAGUCGGGGGUGUGGGCCCCCAGCACUUCUACUUCAGGAUGGAGACCCCCUGCUGCCUGGCUCCCUCCCCAGGCCCGCCAGGCUAGUCCCCUCCCCUGUCCCUCUCUCAGGCCUGCUCUCAUAGCCACGCGGGCCUUUCUGCUGCACACGCCAGCUCAGUUCGGGGCUCAGUAACCCCCUCCCAAUUCAGGGGCAUGACUCCUUCCAGAUUCUCCUUAAAUAUCACCUCCUCCAAAAAGCCUUCCCCAAUCACCUCGUCUAAAGUAGGGCCCCCUCAUUUUUCUACCUAAAUCUAUGGGGAGUUUGUUUGCUUAGUUGCAUGUAUCAUGAUCUUGCUUUGUGUUGACUUUUUACAUAUUUAUUGUCUUUUUAUCUCAUUAGCAUAUGUGCUCCAAUAGGGUGGAGACUGUGAUUUAUCUUGUUCAUGCCUGGACUUCCAGCAGCAUUCAGAACAGAACUUCUUUCUUUCUUUCUUUCUUUUGAGAUGGAGUUUCGCUCGUGUUGCCCAGGCUGGAGUGCAGUGGUGCGACCUCGGCUCGCCGCAACCUCCGCCUCUUGGGUUCAAGCAUUUCUCCUACUUCAGCCUCCGGAGUAGCUGGGAUUACAGGCGCGCGCCACCACGCCUGGCUAAUUGUAUUUUUAGUAGAGUUGGGGUUUCUCCGUGUUGGUCAGGCUGGUCUCGAACUCCCGUCCUCAAGUGAUCCGCCCGCCUCGGCCUCCCAAAGUGCAGAAGAGAAUUCCAGGAAGCCUCGAGAGUGAGUGACGGCCCGCGGCCCCCGGCGAGGAGGCAGCAAUACCACAGGCGACCACCAGCUGCCGCCGCAGUCAAGGGCAGUUGGUCUCCCCUCGCCAGGAUUAACCCUGGACCGAGGGCUCCCGAACCGAAUCGUCCCCACAGCCUGUCCUGCGAGGGCGGCUUUCCCCAUUACCACCCUCGUUUCACCAAGGAGAAAACGAGCUCAGAGAGGCAGUGCAUUGGCCCGGGAUUGCACCGGGCGCGAACCCACGUCAGCUCCCGCAGAACCUAGAUCAUUCGCUGCCACCUCCCUCCGGGCCUGCUCUCGCAGUGUUGGGUGGGAACAGAACAGCCUUGGUCGUGGCUGAGGAGAAAUCCCACAGAUGUCACUGGACGAGGGUGACGGGUGGGGCCGGGCUUUCCCCUGGGUACAGGCACAACCGUGCUCUUCCCUCGCACAGUGACCCGCGGUGUCAUCCACAAUUCACAGCCUGUUUCCCAGAGGAGGGGCUCGGAGCGGUGCCCUCCAGGUGCCGCCAGCAACACAAGGCCCAGACUACAGAACACCAAAUACUGUGAUGAGAAAUUACUUCCCUUUUCCUUCAGGGCCAGUCCUGGCUACCCCAAGGGGAAAGUCGCAGCUUGGUGCAAAUGAAAGUUCAACUGUCCCCAGCAUUGUCAAUGGUUUUUACAGAGAGAGAGCAGGCCCAAGCCUGGGGCAGAGCAUAGGAGCUGGGAAAGCACCAGGAUGUUUAAUGCCUACAGUCCAAAAUUGGUUGGUGGAAGUACCUACUGUCAGUCCCAUCAGUAGAUUCACUUAUCACAUGGUAAGCGGGAUGUCACUCAGGCCACGGGUAAAUUAUUUACAAGACUUUUCUUAUCAAAGAUCAUUAAAAUUUAGACCUAUAGGGAAACCUUGCCCCAAGGAAAUUCCCAAAGGAUCAAAAAAUACAGAAGUUUUAGUUUGGAAAGAAUGUGUGGCCAAUAGUGCGGUGAUAUUACAAAACAAUGAAUUCGGAACUAUUAUAGAUUGGGCACCUCGAGUCAAUUCUACCACAGUUGCUCAGGACAAACUCGGUCGUGUCCAAGUGCACAAGUGAGUCCAGCUGUUGAUAGCGACUUAACAGAAACUCUAGACAAACAUAAGCAUAAAAAAUUACAGUCUUUCUACCCUUGGGUAUGGGGAGAAAAAGGAAUCUCUACCCCAAGACCAAAAAUAAUAAGUCCUGUUUCUGGUCCUGAACAUCCAGAAUUAUGGAGGCUUACUGUGGCCUCACACCACAUUAGAAUUUGGUCUGGAAAUCAAACUUUAGAAACAAGAGAUUGUAAGCCAUUUUAUACUAUCCACCUAAAUUCCAGUCCAACGGUUCCUUUACAAAGUUGCGUAAAGCCCCCCCUUAUAUGCUAGUUGUAGGAAAUAUAGUUAUUAAACCAGACUCUCAAACUAUAACCUGUGAAAACUGCAGAUUGUUUACUUGCAUUGAUUUGACUUUUAAUUGGCAACACCGUAUUCUGCUGGGGAGGGCAAGAGAGGGCGUGUGGGUCCCCGUGUCCACGGACUGACCGCAGGAGGCCUUGCCAUCCGUCCGUAUUUUGACUGAAGUAUUAAAAGGCGUUUUAAAUAGAUCCAAAAGAUUCAUUUUUACUUUAAUUGCAGUGAUUAUGGGAUUAAUUGCAGUCACAGCUACGGCUGCUGUAGCAGGAGUUGCAUUGCACUCUUCUGUUCAGUCGGUAAACUUUUAAUGAUUGGCAAAAAAAUUCUACAAGAUUAUGGAAUUCACAAUCUAGUAUUGAUCAAAAAUUGGCAAAUCAAAUAAUGAUCUUAGACAACCUGUCAUUUGGAUGGGAGACAGGCUCAUGAGCUUAGAACAUUAUUUCCAGUUACAGUGUGACUGGAAUACGUCAGACUUUUGUAUUACACCCCAAAUUUAUAAUGAGUCUGAGCAUCACUAGGACAUAGUUAGACGCCAUCUACAGGGAAGAGAAGAUAAUCUCACUUUAGACAUUUCCAAAUUGAAAGAACAAAUUUUCGAAGCAUCAAAAGCCCAUUUAAAUUUGGUGCCAGGAAUGGAGGCAAUCGCAGGAGUGGCUGAUGGCCUCGCAAAUCUUAACCCUGUCGCUUGGGUUACGACCAUCGGAAGUUCUAUGAUUAUAAAUCUCAUAUUAAUCCUUGUGUGCCUGUUUUGUCUGUUGUUAGUCUGCAGGUGUACCCAACAGCUCCGAAGAGACAGCGACCAUCGAGAACGGGCCAUGAUGACGAUGGCGGUUUUGUCGAAAAGAAAAGGGGGAAAUG